rnacentral:rRNA from 1 species
CCUACGGGAGGCAGCAGUGAGGAAUAUUGGUCAAUGGACGGAAGUCUGAACCAGCCAUGCCGCGUGCAGGAAGACGGCUCUAUGAGUUGUAAACUGCUUUUGUAUAAGGGUAAACCUGAACACGUGUGUUCAGUUGAAAGUACUGUACGAAUAAGGAUCGGCUAACUCCGUGCCAGCAGCCGCGGUAAUACGGUGGAUCCAAGCGUUAUCCGGAUUUAUUGGGGUUAAAGGGUGCGUAGGCGGCGUGAUAAGUUAGCGGUGAAAUGUUCGGGCUUAACUCGGGAACUGCCUCUAAUACUGUUGACCUAGAGAGCAGACGCGGUAGGCGGAAUGUAUGGUGUAGCGGUGAAAUGCUUAGAGAUCAUACAGAACACCGAUCGCGAAGGCAGGUGACC